UUCAGAUUAGCUAAGCGAGAAUACCAUCAGCAGUGCAUCAAUCUCAGCUGCAUCCAGGUGUAUCAGUUGAAUGUCAGAGGGACUAGAAAUUACAUUUCAUGAAGAAAAUUUACAGAACUGAAGUUAUUUAGGCUGCAAAAGAAAAGACUAAGAGAACAGUAUACAAGCAUGGUGAAGAGUGAAAUCUCUACUGCUAAACUGCAGAGGUAUCCGAUACAGCACUGUGCUAAGUUGGACUUACAGAGACGAAUAAGAUUUGGCCACAUCUUCAAGGAGCUCAGACCUUCAUGGACAUACCAAAUAUAUACAGAACUAACUCUACUGCUUAUCAUAAUUAGAGCUGUGCUAUGGAUAUUUGAAAGUUAGAGAGAUUUAUUUUCAACAGAAUAAUAAAGUCAACUUUCACAAACUGGUGACAGAUGAUCUGGGCCUUGCAGACAGGGGAGGACUGACAGAUUGAGAAGAGUAUUUGGUUAAAAACGGAUCAUAAACUGGUAUAAAUAUCUAAACAAAUUCAUGAGAAUGAGAAGAGUCAGACACAAUAAAAUAAUUCAAAGAUAUAUCAGAUAAACCUGGACCCAAAAGUCAUGACUUUUUCUUUUCAGUUGACUCUGAACAAUUUACAACAACUUCCUCGAUUAUUGUUUGUCUCAUUUUAACAUUUUAUAAUAACACCUAUGUCUCCACAUUGGUAUGAAGACUAAAUGAAAACACAUCUGUGUUAGAUAGUCCCUAAGUUUCUGUCCCCGAUAUAAGUCCACCCUCCCCACCAUCAUGUGAUCACACGCAGGUGCACACACACAGAUGUAUACAUGCAUGCCGUUAUGGGAACAGUAAUUGCAAAUAUCAGUACUGUUACGGUUCUUACUUCAGCCAUUGCACAAGUGUAGACCUCUGGAUCAACACACGUAUGUAUGUGUAUGUGUAACAAAUGUAUGGCUAAUAAUGCGUAGGUUUCAUAGCUAUGCCUUGAAAUCAAUUUAUUAAAUGGAUGUGUUCUUCCCAUGCUGACUCACCUACUGCGGCCCAAAAGCAACAACGUAAACUGCCCUGGAUAAAACAUCUGCAGACAAGAGAUCUCUAAGCUAAGCUACAGCUUCAUCAAGCAUGGAGUUAUCUCAUUUCAUAGCUUCACACACACACAGGUGCGCACACACACACACACACACACACACACACACACACAGCUCUCAGCUGGAGACCGUCAGGGAAAACAAGUACCAGUGAGACCUGGGGAUCUUCAUUUGAUUUUGUCUACUGGGUGAGGCUGUGUUGAAAACACUUUGAUAGAGGGCUCUUCUCUUGGGGCUCAUCAAAUAUUGCUGGUAGAGGGUUUGCUUGCUUUAAAUAUUCCUUUCCUCAGGUAACGAAGAAUACCAUGUAAUUUGUAAUGAUAACUUGGAUAAUGAAUGCACACUGUAGUCAGCCAUUACCAGUGGUAAUUGGUCUUCCUUUCAUCUCCUGUCAAGCAGAGUGGUUAGGAUUAGGACCAAAAGGCAGCUAUCAUCUCUCUCAUUUCCUGACUCAGACAAAAGGCAAAAAAAAAAGGUGCCUGCUUGUGCUGAUAGGUGUCUGAUCAAAGCGGCUGAAAGCUGUCAGAAGCCAGCCAGCCUCAGCACCUGACUACUCCUUAAUGCAGCUUUGCCUUUGAUGUACAGGCAGUCCAACCGGGGUUCUAUUUAUGUAAAAAAAAAUAAUAAUCAGGAUUGUAAUAGAACAGAAGAAAGUGCCAUUUUCUAUUUUGAUUCUAGUUUUGCAGUCUGACACCUAUAGGAAAUGUGGACUAAUUCUGUCCAGAGUAUGGUG